UACGUAGGGGGCAAGCGUUGUCCGGAUUUAUUGGGCGUAAAGAGCUCGUAGGUGGUUCGGUAAGUCGGAUGUGAAAUCUCCAGGCUCAACCUGGAGGGGUCAUUCGAUACUGCCGUGACUAGAGGUCGGUAGGGGAGUGUGGAAUUCCUGGUGGAGCGGUGAAAUGCGCAGAUAUCAGGAGGAACACCCGUAGCGAAGGCGGCACUCUGGGCCGAUACUGACGCUGAGGCGCGAAAGCUAGGGGAGCAAACGGG
rnacentral:rRNA from 1 species